rfam:Schistosoma rodhaini strain Burundi genome assembly, scaffold: SROB_scaffold0004519
GCUGAGGAGUCCCAUAAUAGGACGAAACGACCGUCC